rnacentral:rRNA from 1 species
AUUGAACGCUGGCGGCGUGCUUAACACAUGCAAGUCGAACGAGAACGGAAUAUAGCUUGCUAUAUUUGUCAGCUAAGUGGCGCACGGGUGAGUAAUGUAUAGAUAACCUGCCCUUAAGAAAGGAAUAACAGUUGGAAACGACUGCUAAUGCCCUAUAUGCCUUUAAUACAUAAGUAUGCAAGGGAAACGCUUUAGUGCUUAAGGAUGGGUCUGUAUGGUAUCAGCUUGUUGGUGAGGUAAUGGCUCACCAAGGCUAUGACGCCUAACUGGUUUGAGAGGAUGAUCAGUCACACUGGAACUGAGACACGGUCCAGACUCCUACGGGAGGCAGCAGUGGGGAAUAUUGCACAAUGGACGAAAGUCUGAUGCAGCAACGCCGCGUGGAGGAUGACACAUUUCGGUGCGUAAACUCCUUUUAUAUAGGAAGAUAAUGACGGUACUAUAUGAAUAGGCACCGGCUAACUCCGUGCCAGCAGCCGCGGUAA